rnacentral:rRNA from 1 species
AUUGAACGCUGGCGGCAUGCUUUUACACAUGCAAGUCGAACGGCAGCGCGGGGGCAACCCUGGCGGCGAGUGGCGAACGGGUGAGUAAUGCAUCGGAACGUAUCCUGUAAUGGGGGGAUAACGUAGCGAAAGUUACGCUAAUACCGCAUACGCUCGAGAGAGGAAAGUGGGGAUCGCAAGACCUCACGUUAUAGGAGCGGCCGAUGUCCGAUUAGCUAGUUGGUGGGGUAAAGGCCUACCAAGGCGACGAUCGGUAGCUGGUCUGAGAGGAUGAUCAGCCACACUGGGACUGAGACACGGCCCCAGACUCCUACGGGAGGCAGCAGUGGGGAAUUUUGGACGAAUGGGCGAAAGCCUGAUCCAGCCAUGCCGCGU